rnacentral:rRNA from 1 species
AAUUUAAUCUUAACGGAGAAGAGGUGUUUGUCGCUCGCUCCCCCUGCCUUGCUUACGGGGAUAUCUUUUGCAAACUAGCGCUAAUACCGCAUAACGUAUAUUUGUGGGAUCGAAGAUAUACCAAAAGACCCACCCGCUGAGAGAUGGGCUCGCGUCCUAUUACAUAGUUGGUGAGGCAACCGCCCACCAACUCAACAAUCGGGAGCCGGACUGAGAGGUUGAACGGCCACAUUGGCACUGAAACACCGCCCAAACUCCUAGCGGAGGCAGCAGUGGGUAAUUUUGCACAAUGGACAAAUUCCUGACGCAUCAUCGCCGCGUGAGGAAUGACGGUUGUCCGAUUGUAAGCCUCUGUCUUUGCUGACUACCCCUGACGGUGUCCAAGGACGAAUCCACUGCUAUCUACUUGCCACCUGCCGCGGUACUACCUAGGUGGAAAACGUUAUCCGGAAUUCCUGGCAGUAAAGGGUGAGUGGGCGGCGCUGCAUAUCAGAUGUCAAAUCUAUGCGGCUUAUCUGAUAGCCUGCAUUUGAAACUGUCUCCUCUUGAUAGACGGAGAGGAUAAACGGAUUUCGCGGUGUAGCGGUGAAAUGCCUAUAUUUGCGGCAGAAACCCCAUUGGCGAAGGCGGUUUUACUGGACGUUCACUGUUGCUGAGACAUGUCAGCGUGGGGAGCAAACAGGAUUAGAUACCCUGGUAGUGCACGCCGUAAACGAUGAAUGUUAGGUGUAGGGGACAUAUGAGCUUCUGUGCUGCAGUUAACACAAUAAGCAUUCCACUUGGGGAGUACGGCCGCAAGGUUGAAAGUCAAAGGAAUUGACGGGAGCCCGCACAAGCAGUGGUGUAUGUGGUUUAAUUCGACGCAACGCGAAGAACCUUACCGGAUCUUGACAUCCCAGAUGAGGCCGAUGCAAUGUUGGCUGUACCCUUCGGGGAAUCUGGUGACAGGUGGUGCAUGGUUGUUGUCAGCUGUUGUCGUGAGAUGUUGGGUUAUGUUCCGCAACGAGCGCAACCCUUUUGUUUAGUUGGUAGGCAAGAGCAUUCUAGUCAGACUGCUGUUGACAAAAUGGAGGAAGGUGGGGAGGACGUCAAAUCAUCAUGCCCCUUACGCCCCGGGCUACACACGUACUACACUGGCGCAAACAAAGGGAAGCGAUACCGCGAGGUGGAGCAAACCCCAUAAAAGGCGUCCCUGUUCGGAUUGCAGGCUGCAACCCGCCUGCAGGAAGUUGGAAUUGCUAGUAAUCGCGGAUCAGCAUGCCGCGGUGAAUACGUUCCCGGGCUUUGCACUCACCGCCCGUCA